rnacentral:miRNA from 1 species
UUUGUGACCUGGUCCACUA